AUUGAACGCUGGCGGAAUGCCUAACACAUGCAAGUCGAACGAGUUGUGUAGCAAUACAUGACUAGUGGCGGACGGGUGAGGAACACAUAGGAAUCUACCCUUGUAGUGGGGAAUAACCCGGGAAACCCGGACUAAUGCCGCAUACGCACUAAGGUGGAAAGCGGGGAGUCGUAAGACCUCGCGCUAUAGGAUGAGCCUAUGUCGGAUUAGCUAGUUGGUUAGGGGUAACGGCCUACCAACGGCGACGAUCCGUAGCUGGUCUGAGAGGACGAUCAGCCACACUGGAACUGAGACACGGUCCAGACUCCUACGGGAGGGCGAGCAGUGGGGAAGU
rnacentral:rRNA from 1 species